CGGCAGGCUUAACACAUGCAAGUCGAGGGGUAACAGGGAUUGCUUGCAAUCCGCUGACGACCGGCGCACGGGUGCGUAACGCGUAUGCAACCUACCUUUUACAAGGGGAUAGCCCAGAGAAAUUUGGAAUAAUACCCUAUACGAUCAUUAAUUGGCAUCAAUUAAUGAAGAAAACUCCGGUGGUAAAAGAUGGGCAUGCGUCCUAUUAGUUAGUUGGUAAGGUAACGGCUUACCAAGACUUCGAUAGGUAGGGGUCCUGAGAGGGAGAUCCCCCACACUGGUACUGAGACACGGACCAGACUCCUACGGGAGGCAGCAGUGAGGAAUAUUGGACAAUGGAGGCAACUCUGAUCCAGCCAUGCCGCGUGCAGGAAGACGGCCCUACGGGUUGUAAACUGCUUUUAUACAGGAAGAACUAUAUCUACGUGUAGAUAUUUGACGGUACUGUACGAAUAAGGAUCGGC
rnacentral:rRNA from 1 species